CUUUUCUACUUUGUCAAGUCGGCUCUGUUCUCCUGAGCCCAGAGUCUCCUAUUUAGAUAAAAGGUCCCUGGUACAAAUCCAGCUUCCUAGUCAAGAAGAACAGAGAAUUUGGGCUCAGUGCACACAUGGUGUCCAUCCACAUACAAGCCGCACCACCCCUAAAGCAACUGGCUUCCACCGAGGGGAACUGGUUUCUGGAAGCUGUGUGAGUGCAUACGUGUUCCUUGGAUAAAAAUAAGGAUGGCAGGAUACAAUGAGAAGACCUGCCUUCUGCAAACCCGGAGGCAAGCCCUCAUCAGACACCAGGUCUGCUGCCACCAUGAUGUUGGACUGCUCAGCCUCCAGAACUGAGUCUUGAGACUUCUCUUCUUUUGGUGUGGAUUCCGGAACUCCUUUCUGAAGCAAGAGGCAAAUAUCUCUCAGCAGAGAAUGCCAAGACCAAUCACUUAACCAUGGCAAUCUUACUCAGCAUGGUAAUUCCCACCCUGAUGGUCCCAAGAUGGCUGCAGCAGUUUCAGCCAUGUUAUCCUAAUCCACCAACAUCUGGAGGUAUCUGUCUUUUCAAUCUCCAUCUAUUACAAAUGUAGGAUACUUUUACCAGAAGGUCCUCCUCUAGACUACUACUCAUGUUUCAUUGGACAAAUUUGGUCCCAUGGAAUUUCUUAAGUCAUUUACUGAUGAGGAAAGUGGAAUUAUCAUGACUGGAUUAGACUACCUAAGAUUCACCACUCCUGAGCCUGGAGAAAGAUAAUUUUCUCAGAGCAAACAACUGCAUAUGGCUGAAGAUAGGAAUGAACUAUAAAACAAAAUUGGAGUCCUCCAGGAAAGAAAGGGGGAAUUAAAGGGAAAUGAUUGUGUAGGCAAAACACAAUAGUCUCCAAUGCCAAAUAAACUUUGUUUUGUUACUCUCUCAUCUACUUUAUCACAUUUUUUUCCUUGUUACCCUUCUCACCUUAAUUCAUCACCAAUAAGCCUCUUUAAAUCAAAUUUUUGAUGGUCAUCCAUAAAUCUCCAAGAAAUUGAGUGAUAAUUAACAUUACAGUGAUAAUGAGCUUAAGGUCUUGUUUCUUCUUGAAAGCUGGGAGGGUAGGAGGGGAGUGAAUGGUAAGAAAUUACUUAGUGGGGGCAAUACUCAUUAUUUGGGUGAUGGGUUACCCUAUAAGUCCAGACUUUACCAUUAUACAAUAUAUCCAUGUAACAAAACUGCAUUUGCACCAUUUAAAUGUAUACAAAUUUUUAAAAAGAAAGCUCUAAAAGAUAUAAACAUCUUCAAGAUCUAUAGGAAUAAAGCAGUCAUGGGGGUGUGGCAGGCAAGAAAGGAUUUAAGGCCCAGUUCGCUCCUAUGACCUCCUCACUUUAUCUCCUAUCACACUACUCUGCACACUCUGUUAUGGCCACGUCGGCCUCUCUGCAGUUCCUCUAAGAGGCCAGCAUUCUCUCACCCUGGGGACUUUGUACUUUACUUCCCUGUGCCCACACCAAGCUUUCUUCAUAUAACCAUGUUACUUAAUUCCUCCCUUACUAUGAGUUUCUGCUCACGUGCCACCUUAUUAAAGAGGUUUGUCCUGACCAUCUUAUGUAACAUAGCAACUUUAUUUCAUUCUUUGUCCUAUUACCCCAGUUUAUAUAUGCUUAUGGCUCUUAUAACCACCUGACAUGGUAUGCAUUUAUUUAUUGUUCUUAUAAGUAAUUAUCCAUGAGACAAGUGUUUAUAUUUUGUUCACAGUUUGUUUCUCUGAGCCUAGUAUAGUGCCUGACACAUAUA
rnacentral:lncRNA from 1 species